CUUGACCUUCUAUAAAGCACUGUUUUGUUUGCCUUUCAGUGCUAUGAGUCUUGAUAAAUUGGAGAAGAGCCCAAGAGAAAUUUUUCAUCCCUUGAUAUAAAAGGGAUCGGUGAAUUUUAACUUUGGAGUCCUCUGUGCUAAGGAUGCUCAGCUUACCGAUGAUGAAAUGUUCAGUAAUGUAUUUGCUGCAGCUCUGCUUACCCAAGCUUUGGGUUCCUUCUGUCCCACUGGGAGUGGCCCAGUUUGGUUGCAUCUGGUGAAAUUCACCCUGAGACCUUACAGAACCAGCUCCAACUACGUGAGAGCCAUUUGCAGUUCUCUCCAGACACCUGGAGAAGGGGUGACGUUUCUGAGGAUCCGGCGAGCGUGCUUCUGUCAAAACUCAGUCUGUGAAGUUUCUGGGGAAAACCCUUCUGUGUCCUGAAGGGUUCAAACUCUGGUGAGGAUCCAGUUAUCAGGUGCUCACCUGGAUGGUUCCAGCUCCCAAAGGGAAAGACUCUCGUAUCCUUGUCGUCGGGCUUGGUGCUGUCCAAGAAGAUACAGAGACUAAAAAAAUCAUAAGAAGCAAAAUAUGACUGCAGGGGAAAGAAGCUGGAGAGAACAAAAGGUGAUAUUGUUAUCCUUACCCUGUAUUAGAAACAUCUGCUGUGCUUUGAUGCUGGCAGCUGCCAGGGGCUUGUUAGCUCUUUGUAGGCAGGUGUAGGUGUUCACUUGUAGGUUUUUUCUCUGGACAAGUCAAUUCAAACUUUGCUAAGCUUAUAUUUGCAGAGUACUCUCUAGAACAGUCCAGCGUGACAUGUUGGAUGUCGUCUCCCAGAGGGACCCAAAACUGCCAUAAAUUUCACAGGGAGGGGUGGGUGUAGAAUACUAAAACCUGUCAAGGUUUUCAUUUUUAUAGGUAUUGGCAAAGAAAAGGAAUUUAUCUCUAAAUUCAUUUGGAAAGAAACCCUCUCUCUAUCCACUUAUUUGUAUACAGGAAUGUAGGAAACUCUGACUAGAGAUGGGUAAUAGUUUUGAAAAUAAAGACAUAAGUUUUAUCUAGAAAUGAACCAAUCAAGUGCCCUGAAAGCAUCAGAACAGCUGCAGGGGCUGAAGGGAACAGAAAGGGUUCUAUCUCAUGAACAGAGGUACCUUUUCCUUACAGGUGCUUGUGCUGUAGUUUGGAUUCUGCUUCCUAACAUUUCUAGUGUGACAGGGUUUACCAUAGAGACAAUCUGCCAGGAGGUAGCGCU